GCGCGUGCGGGGCUUUUUUACAGGAUGAAGCCUGGGGGGAGAUCAGCCAAUCAGGGUCCGCUAUGAUGUAAUUGGAUCUCACGGGAUCUCAUGCUGUUUACUGUAAAGCGCGCGCGAGUCGAGCCGUCAACAGGAAAACAGGCUAAUACAAUGCGUGAAGUAAUAACGUCUUCAGCAUAGCUGUCACACCAGCCAGCAUAUGGAGAACGGCUCAAACAACAAUUAAGGUACAGAUAAAACGUAUGAAUGGUACAUUGAGAGAGAUAAAGAAUUCAUGGAGGACUUGGAUUGUGGUCUGCCACAGGAAAGUCUAUUUGACAGCAGCAGCUUUGUUUAGGUAAGCCUAUAUCUUUAUACAUGCCGCAGCUGUUAUACAUAGCAUUCAGGUUGAUGUCAAAAUAAAUCCAUUUUUAAUCGCUUUAAAAAAUACCAUGCUGAAAUGGGUUUACUGCUAACAUUUGGAAUACAAGCGAUGUCUGAUCCAGUGCUGGGCCUGAUCCUGUCAGCACUGACAUGAAAGGAAAGAUGUCAAUCUUAUGCAAGCAUAUUUAUCGGGUCCUGGUGUGUCUUAUCAAAAAGAGCUAUUAUAAAUAUCUUGCUUUUAUAAGGCUAUUAGAUAUGUGCAUUAUUUUCUGAAAGCUUAUAGUGUUGAUGGUAAAUUUUGAUACUGGAACCUUGUUUUGUUUUUGGCUUAUUUGUAAUUUAUUCUUGAGUUGUGUUUUCAUUUAAUCUGAAAAUCUUUGCUCAACUGUAUUAUGUCUUUGGGCAAAUUCAUUUAGAUCUCUUAUCUGUCCAGACAGAAUGCUAGAAAGUCAUUUGUGUGACUCCUUUGAUUGGAAUUGAAUCAUAUUCAAGAGUCAUAUCUCACUCACAAAAUUUUACUCUGUCUACUGACGACAGACACUAUGAGCUCAUCAGACCUCACACUUGUCUUGCUUAACUGUUGCCACUGUUGCUCAUAGGGAUCUGCUGGUAAUCAUUCGUUUAUUAAAUCUGCGUGUAUUGGGACCGUGUGCAUUGCCAUCGCGCCCCCCAGCGUUCAUUAAUGGAAUGACACAAGCAGCACGUGGCUGACAUGGAAUUAGUGCAAGCACUCCAUGACCAAAACAUACUUUAUACAAAAAUAUGAACUGGUCCCAUGACAAUCAUUUUUAUUGGCAAUAUGUGAGCAUGUAACAUAUGGAUAAAAUGGAUAAAAUAUUUAAUGCAUCUAAGUGAAGCUUGUCAGUGUGCUAUGAGGUCAGUGUAUUCAAGUUAGAAGCAGAUGUUGGAGAUGGGUUGGGAGUGUACCGUGUUGUCAGGGUGGGUGAGAUCACGGAUAAUUCUGAAUCACCGACUUUAUAGUGUAGUGAGGGGUCCUGGAGAGGCAGAUGGGUGCACUUAUCACAGUAAACGAUGGUGAAAACUCUUAGACUGUAGGGAAUAGUAUGUCAGGUGUGUUGCACCGUGUAACUGUAGUAACCAAAAUGAGUUUACAU